rnacentral:rRNA from 1 species
GACGUAGGGCGCGAGCGUUGUCCGGAUUUAUUGGGCGUAAAGAGCUCGUAGGCGGCUUGUUGCGUCAGCUGUGAAAACCCGCAGCUCAACUGUGGGCUUGCAGCUGAUACGGGCAGGCUUGAGUUCGGUAGGGGAGACUGGAAUUCCUGGUGUAGCGGUGAAAUGCGUAGAUAUCGAGAGGAACACCAGUGGCGAAGGCGAGUCCCUGGACAACUUCUGACGCUGAGGCACGAAAGCUAGGGGAACAAACAGG